rnacentral:lncRNA from 1 species
UGAAAUUACAAGGAGGGAGAAAAUGGAGGAGUUGAAGUCAUAUGGUGAGCGAGUUGGCAGAUGCGAUGGCUGUUUUGAGAGGUGAAAAAGAUAAGCAUAUUACGUGGUUGGAGGUGAGUAUAUGUGAGUUGUUUGGUCGUGAGUUUGACGUUGUUGGGAUGGUGGCACAUGCGGUGUAGAAGAUGGAUGGAGGAUGAUGAUUUUUGUUGAAAGAGCGAAUGAAGGUGUUGUU